rnacentral:rRNA from 1 species
AGAGUUUGAUCCUGGCUCAGGAUGAACGCUGGCGGCAUGCCUAAUACAUGCAAGUCGAACGGACGGAAGGUGAGCUUGCUCAUUGGAAGUCAGUGGCGAACGGGUGAGUAACACGUAGGGAAUCUGCCCAUGUGCCCGGGACAACAGAUGGAAACGUCUGCUAAAACCGGAUAGGUGGCAAGGAGGCAUCUUCUUGCGAUUAAAGGGGCUACGGCCUUGAACAUGGAUGAUCCUGCGGUGCAUUAGCUAGUUGGUGAGGUAACGGCUCACCAAGGCGAUGAUGCAUAGCCGACCUGAGAGGGUGAACGGCCACAUUGGGACUGAGACACGGCCCAAACUCCUACGGGAGGCAGCAGUAGGGAAUUUUCGUCAAUGGGGGGAACCCUGAACGAGCAAUGCCGCGUGUGUGAGGAAGGUCUUCGGAUCGUAAAGCACUGUUGUAAGAGAGGAACGGUAUCCAGAGGGAAUGCUGGGUAAGUGACAGUAUCUUACCAGAAAGCCACGGCUAACUACGUGCCAGCAGCCGCGGUAAUACGUAGGUGGCGAGCGUUAUCCGGAAUCAUUGGGCGUAAAGGGUGCGUAGGCGGCGAGUUAAGUCUGAGGUAAAAGGUUGCAGCUCAACUGUAACAAGCCUUGGAAACUGACUGGCUAGAGUGCAGGAGAGGGCAGUGGAAUUCCAUGUGUAGCGGUAAAAUGCGUAGAUAUAUGGAGGAACACCAGUGGCGAAGGCGGCUGUCUGGCCUGUAACUGACGCUGAGGCACGAAAGCGUGGGGAGCAAAUAGGAUUAGAUACCCUAGUAGUCCACGCCGUAAACGAUGAG